GCCCAGGGGGCGCCGGGCGGCGCGGCUCCUGGUGGACGCCAAGCACGUUCUGAACUGACAAAGAGAAAAAUGCUACGCUGCUUCCCGCUGACGCCCAAGCUCAAACGAGGCAACGAAGCUGGCGCCCAGCCGCGCGGACCCGGGAGGCGCUGCGCAGAAUCCAGGUUGGAGACAGGAUUCACCAGAGUCAAAGGAGAGCUUUUUUCCAAUUUCACGCCUGCUUUACAUUCAAGAGGGAAAUUUUGAGGCUUCCGGACCUGCAAUGGGAGCGAGCAAACUCCUGGUCUGCAGAGUGGCAGGACCUAACCUCAGUGGCUGUUCCCUGCGGGCCCCUGCCUGCCGCGUGGCCCAGCCCCUGCCCUCUGCAGGUAAGCUGAUAGGCGGGAUGCGGCCUGGAGGCCUCCCUGGGCCAGGGGACGCAGAGCUGGCUCCUUCAGCAUUGUGUGUGUCUGGCCACUGCCCACCCACCCGCCUGCACCCAGAGUGUGGCUCCGAGCUCGGGGCUCAGGCCCUCCUGGAGGAGUGUGAGGGCGCCUGAGGCAGGUCCAGGGCCGUGAGAAAUCCAGGGAGACCACUUCUCGAGGGGACUCCCUUCCCACCUGGCCACCAUGCGCCGCGUGACAGGCACACACUGCCUGGCAUGUCCCCUCAAGGGGACUCCUGGGAGGGAAGGAACUGCACAGACAUGUCUCCUUAGGGGCCGGGUCUGGGGUACGAAGCUGGGGGGCAGAGCUGGUCCUAGGAAGCCAGGAGUGGCUCAGGGGUCAGCUGAGUCCAGAACAGGAGGAAGGCAUGUCUGUGGGCGGGAAGGACAGGGAGCCUGGGGUCCCCAUCAUGCAGGGGCCCCUCCGACAGCAGGGGCCUCAGGAUGCCCUCCAGCGCUAGGGCAGUGUCCAUGCCCCGGGGCAGCUCUGCCCCUGUUACCUGACUUUAAUGCCACUCCUGGAGAGCAGCCCUGGGCCCGGUCCCUUCUCAGACAGAAAACCGCCCACCCGCCUGCCGUGAUGGCGUUGGGCAGUCCCAGGGGCGCUGGACCGAGAACUUGGUGGGCUAGAGUUUUGAGACCAAAGGAAAACGGGGAGGGGGAGGAGACCCCCUGACUCCUCCUUCCUGAGUAGACGGCCAGCUUCCAUCAGCAGCCCCUGCUCCAUGUCAGCUGAGCGUCGUCUUGUCCCUUGCUGGUCACACUGGGACCACCGGACGCCGUGGAAACGGACGAAACAGUGGUAACAAAUGCUGAAUGUGGACAUGAGCUCAGGUUGCAGCUCCCCGUCGCCUUUCCCUGUACGUCUGUCUUUAGCGGGUGAAGAGAGGCGCUGCUGAGAAGCACUGACCUCGCUGGGUGGGUGUGGCUCUCACCCACCCUUGGGCGUGUGGGCACCUGUCUCCAGCGUCUGUUGGGUGGUUUUGCCGCUAAGCAAGCCCGCUCUCUUUAAGGAUCAUUCACUUACGAGACCUCCCAUAGUUUUUUACUUGCAGUCUCCAGCCUCCUCGUGGCGUUAACUCUGUAAUCACUUACUUUGUCCUUCUACUCCGUCCCUUCCACCACCCUAUGGCCCCAGAAACAGCCAGCCGGAUACAGCAACUAACUCAGAUUCGUUUGUUUGUUUCUUGGUUGGUUUUUUGGGGUUUUUUUUUUGGCAGCAUGUGGGAGUUCCUGGGCCAGGGACCGACCCCGCGCCACCGUAGCAACCCAAGCCGCUGUAGUGACCGUGCCAGAUCUUUAACCCACUGCACCACAGGAGAGCUCCCUAACUCGGAUAGUUCUAAUGCUUUCUGGUUGGGUCUCUUGAGGCCCAGCCGCCCUUUAGGAAGACAUGCACUUUUAAGAGGUAGCCCUGCCUCCUUCCCACACACGUGCCUCUUUUUCCCCCCCUUUCUUUUCAGGGCCGCACCCACAGCCUAUGAAACUUCCUGGGCUAGGGGUCUAAUCAGAGCUACAGGUGCCAGCCUACACCACAGCCACAGCCGCAGCAACGCCGGAUCCAAGCCACAUCUGCCCCCACAGCACAGCUUGUGGCAACGCCGGGUCCUUAACCCACUGAGCGACUCCAGGGAUCAAACCUGCGUCCUCAUGGAUGAUAGCUGGGUUCUUAACCCACUGGGCCACAGCAGGAACUCCCACAUUUGGCUCUUAAAGUACCCCUGGGUGGGUUGCUCUUUCUUCCAAGCCAAGGAGCCUUGACUGAACAGGGUCGCAAAGGUUCAUCCCUGGGAAGCUGCGUGAGUAACGUGCAGAGAAGGAGAUAGGAGUCCUUCUCUGACAAAGUCCGCCGGACACUGCGUGUCGGCUGUUGGUGUGGAACCCGCUGGGCAGCUCCAGCCUGGCCGAGAUAACCCGCGCGACAGAAAGAGCGAGAGGCAGAGCGGCUGGAGCCCGGCUGUGAAUGUGCCCCCCUGCAGAUGUGUUUGAUCUCUCAGGGUUUACGGAAGGCCCACCACGCACCAGGCUGCAAACAGACAGAUGAGGCCCCUGCUCUCGGGGAACUCGUGUUCGGGUGGGGUAAGAUCGAGGUGAGGUUUUCAGAGAGAGGCAGUUCCUGGUGGCUCGGGAGGUUACUGCACUGUCACUGCAGCAGCCAGGUCACUGCUGUGGCGCAGCUUUGAUCCCUGACCUGGGAGCUUCUGCAUGCCUUGGGCGUGGCCAAAAAAGAAAAAAAA
ensembl:lncRNA